rnacentral:rRNA from 1 species
CAAUAGCGUAUAUUAAAGUUGUUGCAGUUAAAAAGCUCGUAGUUGGAUUUCUGGUGGGAGCGAUCGGUCUGGCGCUUAGCGCGAGUACUUGCAUCGUCUCCGGCCAUCCUUGGGGAAAGUCUGUCUGGCAUUAAGUUGUCGGGCAGAGGAUCCUCAUCGUUUACUGUGAAAAAAUUAGAGUGUUCAAAGCAGGCUUAUGCCGUUGAAUAUAUUAGCAUGGAAUAAUAAGAUAGGACUUUGGUACUAUUUUGUUGGUUUGCGCACCAAAGUAAUGAUUAAUAGGGACAGUUGGGGGUAUUCGUAUUCCGUUGUCAGAGGUGAAAUUCUUGGAUUUACGGAAGACGAACUGCUGCGAAAGCAUUUACCAAGGAUGUUUUCAUUAA